GGUCCAUGAGAACAGAACUACCCCUCCUCUCAGGUCCAUGAGAACAGAACUACCCCUCCUCUCAGGUCCAUGAGAAGAACAGAACUACCCCUCCUCUCAGGUCCAUGAGAACAGAACUACCCCUCCUCUCAGGUCCAUGAGAAGAACAGAACUACCCCUCCUCUCAGGUCCAUGAGAAGAACAGAACUACCCCUCCUCUCAGGUCCAUGAGAACAGAACUACCCCUCCUCUCAGGUCCAUGAGAAGAACAGAACUACCCCUCCUCUCAGGUCCAUGAGAAUAACUGAACUACCCCUCCUCUCAGGUCCAUGAGAAGAACAGAACUACCCCUCCUCUCAGGUCCAUGAGAAGAACUGAACUACCCCUCCUCUCAGGUCCAUGAGAACAGAACUACCCCUCCUCUCAGGUCCAUGAGAAGAACAGGAGACAGAAAGAGACAGACUGGGAACAUUACAUGUCCAGGCUUUGACUGACAGAGGACUGGAAGGGACCCGUUGGGACUAACUCGUUAUCAUGCUAUUGAAGGACAACAACAGCCUUGACUGCCACCAAUAAAUAUAACAAUAUUUUUUAUUUAUUUACAAUAAACUUUUGAAAUAAUUAUAUACACAUCCGGCAACAUUGGAGUACCAGAUGAGGACCGGGGAAGAGACAGAACCAGAACCAGAACCAGGAGACAAUAACAGAAGGACGUCGCCGCCCCAAACCCACACCGAGACAAAGAACAUAAUUUUCCCGUCUAACACAGGAACAAUGAGGAGUGGAGACAUCACUCUGCAGGUGCCAGCAGG
rnacentral:lncRNA from 1 species